UCCAUAUCCCAAUAUCUCAACCAAAACUUCGAAAACCGUGUCGGAAUCAGAACAGAACUAUCCACGACUGUAGUGUGUUGAAGAUGAAUCAUGGACUUCUACAAUGGCGGAGUCAUUGCCUACUCUCCUCUUCCAUUCCCUUGUCUUCUAUCCCCAGAACCAGACUCAUAAUCUCCGCCAACAGCGCUCAGCAGCAGCAGCAGCAGGAACAGGAACUCAGCGCCAGGGAAAAAAGGCAGCUUAGGAACGAGAGAAGAGCCAGCAACAGCACCAACUGGAGAGAACAAGUGGAGGAGAGACUCAUCAAGAAGCCCAAGAAGAGGUUCGCCACUUGGACUGAGGAGCUCAACCUCGAUACCCUUGCCAAGUUGGGUCCCCAAUGGUGGGUCGUUCGUGUAGGCCGUGUCAGAACCGUGGACACCGCCGAACUUCUUGCUCUCUUACUCGCUAGAAACUUCCCCGAAAUUGACUUUCAGGUCUAUACUGCAGCUGUCAAUGUGAAGAGGAAGUUGAAGAAUGGUACUUGCUCGGUUAAACCAAAGCCCCUAUUUCCUGGGUGUGUUUUUUUAAGAUGUGUAUUGAAUAGAGAGAUACAUGACUUCAUAAGAGAUUGUGAAGGAGUUGGAGGCUUUGUUGGUUCCAAGGUCGGAAAUACAAAAAAACAGAUCAACAAACCUAGGCCGGUAUCUGAUGUUGACAUGGAAGCAAUCUUUAAACAGGCAAAAGAGGAACAAGAAAAAACUGACCGAGCUUUCGAGGAAGAACAAAAAGAAGAAAACCUCAACUCUAGGAUGCUCAGUGUUGACACUCAUUUAGAUCCCAAUGAUGAUACACAAUCUGUUACAGAGUCCAAGUCAAGAAGGGUAUCUAAGAAAGCUUCUGAUUCUGUCAGAAACGGUUCAUCUACAGCAAAGAAAUAUAAGCUCCUUGUCCCAGGCUCAACCGUUCGAGUUGUAUCUGGCACUUUUGCAGAAUUUGUAGGCAGCCUUAAGAAGGUGAAUCGCAAAACUGGAAAGGCAACUGUGGGAUUCACACUAUUUGGGAAGGAAAGCUUAGUAGAUUUAGAUGUCAAUGAUGUUGUUGCAGAGACUAACUGAUGUAAAUAUUGUCUCUCCACAUGACGAUCAUUCAAAGGGCACCAAGCAGUGAAUAUGGCAUCAACAUUUGAAUCAAUAACAACUAACUCUAUGUGUAAGGCUGUCACGCCAAUGACAACUCUCUCUCACGAAAAGCUAACUGAGGCCAAUACGAAAGAAAAAUUCUGCCGACCGCCGGAUAUUAUUUAUCUUGUUGCUUUGAAAAUCUGAUUUUUUCUGGCUGCUUCUCUUUUGUUCGAUCUACUUCAUGCAUUAAAUGCCUAACUUUAAUAUCAAUCUAGAGCAUCAGAUUUGAUGGGCCACUAAGUUAAAA